GAUGAACGCUGGCGGCGUGCCUAAUACAUGCAAGUCGAGCGAACAGACGAGGAGCUUGCUCCUCUGACGUUAGCGGCUGACGGGUGAGUAACACGUGGAUAACCUACCUAUAAUACUUGGAUAACUUCGGGAAACCGGAGCUAAUACGGCCUAAUAUAUUCAACGGCUGGGUUCAUUGGUUAAUCACGCUUUUCCUGUCUUUAUUAGACGUUUCCGCGCCGCAUUAGCUAGUUGGUAAGGUAACGGCUUACCAAGGCAACGAUGCGUAGCCGACCUGAGAGGGUGAUCGGCCACACUGGAACUGAGACACGGUCCAGACUCCUACGGGAGGUAGCAGUAGGGAAUCUUCCGCAAUGGGCGAAAGCCUGACGGAGCAACGCCGCGUGAGUGAUGAAGGUCUUCGGAUCGUAAAACUCUGUUAUUAGGGAAGAACAAAUGUGUAAGUAACUAUGCACGUCUUGACGGUACCUAAUCAGAAAGCCACGGCUAACUACGUG
rnacentral:rRNA from 1 species